UUGCAGAUUACUCAAAUGUCAUUAUUUUAUCAUAUCUUUUUCAGGCAAGAUCCUCUAGCCUGAUGACAACGUAACAAGAAGCAUCAUCUGAACAAUGAAGAAGACAUGGAUUGGAAAAGAUCCUUGGGCAUGUGACAGAAAUAAAUGAUUCAGGGGGAUGGGAGUCUGCACCUGCCUUGCACUCGGUGACAGAGAGAGCUAACAGGAGAAUUUCACAAUCUGGAAUAAGCAAAGGACAAGGUGAUGAUGGAAAAAAUUAGCUCUUUGUUUAGUAAAUCAUUAUCACUAAUGAACAUGCAAGUACAACUUUCCUGAUUUUUAAAAAAGACUUUUUGCAACAGCUGAGAUGAAAGGGUCAAAUCUCACGUAAGAAAUCCUACUCCAAUUUUGCUGCUAAUAAUGGAAAAAGCAACUGAAUAUCUAGAUUCAGCAAAACCACAAAAACAGUCAGUUAAUGAGUAAUUUCUUUUAACUGGGUGUUUAUACUAAAUAGCUUGGAAUUGUGAUAAUUAUAAUUUGC
rnacentral:lncRNA from 1 species